rnacentral:rRNA from 1 species
GACGAACGCUGGCGGCGUGCUUAAUACAUGCAAGUAGAACGCAGUUGCGAACGGGUGAGUAAAGUGUAGGUAACCUGCCUCAUAGCGGGGGAUAACUAUUGGCAACGAUAGCCAAUACCGCAUACUGUGAGAUGGACCUGCGUUGUGUUAGCUAGUUGGUGAGGUAAAGGCUCACCAAGGCGACGAUACAGAGCCGACCUGGGACGGUGAUCAGCCACACUGGGACUGGGACACGGCCCAGACUCCUACGGGAAGCAGCAGUAGGGAAUCUUCGGGCAUGGACGGAAAUCUGACCGAGCAACGCCGCGUGAGUGAAGAGGGUUUUCGGAUCGUAAAGCUCUGUUGUUAGAGUAGCGGUAGCUAACCAGAAAGGAACGGCUAACUACGUGCCAGCAGCCGCGGUAAUUC